UACGAAGGGGGCUAGCGUUGCUCGGAAUUACUGGGCGUAAAGGGCGCGUAGGCGGACAGUUAAGUCAGAGGUGAAAGCCCAGGGCUCAACCCUGGAAUAGCCUUUGAUACUGGCUGUCUUGAGUGCGGGAGAGGUGUGUGGAACUCCGAGUGUAGAGGUGAAAUUCGUAGAUAUUCGGAAGACACCAGUGGCGAAGGCGACACACUGGCCCGUAACUGACGCUGAGGCGCGAAAGCGUGGGGAGCAACAGG
rnacentral:rRNA from 1 species